rnacentral:tRNA from 1 species
GCCCCUGUAGCUCAACGGAUAGAGCACAGGCCUCCGGAGCCUGGAAUACAGGUUCAAUUCCUGUCAGGGGCA